rnacentral:rRNA from 1 species
ACCAUUUUUUUUUUAAAAAAAUUAUACUUUUUAUUUAAGAUAAUUGUUUAUAAAAAGAUUAUGAUAAUGUUAUUUGUUACUGCAAAGGAGUUUAAUUUAAAAAUUUAAAAGUAAAUUUUAUGUACCUUUUGCAUAAGGGAUUUUCUAUAAAAAUUAAACAUUUAUUUUUCUCGAAAUAAAUUGAUCUAAAAUUAAUAUAUAAUUUAUAUUUCAUUAUAAAUUUUAAAUUUAUUUUAGAUGUGAAAUGCUUGUCAAAAUUUAAGAUAACUAGUUUAUUAAAAAAAAUUUUAUAUUAACCUAUAAUAAUUUUUUUAAUUAACAUUUUUAUAGGUUAAAAUCUUAGGGAUAAGCUAAAGGUUAAAAUUUUUAAAAGUUAAAAACUUUAAGAAAAAUAGAAGAAAUAUAAUUGUUCUUUGUACUGUUAUAAGUAAAUUUAAGUAAUUGUUUAAAGUUAAUUUAUUUUUAAUAAAAUAAAAAAUAAUGUUUAUUUUAAAAAAUGAAAAUAUUAGUAAAAUUAUUUUCUAACUUAGAAAAAUUAAUUUUAAUGUAAUUUAUAAAUCAAAAUAAGUUUUAAUAAUUCGGCAAAAUUUUUCUUUGACUGUUUAAUAAAAACAACUUAUUCAGAUAAAUACAUUUUAUUGAAUAUAAAUCCUGCUCAAUGAAAUUUUUAAAUUGCUGUAGUAUUUUGACUAUACAAAGGUAUUGUAAUAAGAUUUUAAUUGAAUACUAAGAGAAUGGAAUUACAAGGAAUAACUAUUUUAAACUUAAAAAUUAAAGUUAUUUUAAUUUGUGAAGAAACAAUUAUUAAAAUUAAGGACAAGAAGACCCUAAGAAUUUUAAAAUCAAUAAUUUUUUUAAAAAAAUUAUUGAUUUUUAGUUGGGGCAACUAAAAAAUAUUAUCAACUUUUUUUUAAUAAAAUGAUCCAUUAUUAAUGAUUAUUUGGAAAAAUACUCUAGGGAUAACAGCGUAAUAAUUUUUGAUAGAACAUAUAGACAAAAUAGUUUGCGACCUCGAUGUUGGAUUAGGAUUCUUUUUUAAUGAAGAUGUUAAAAAAAGAAGUUUGUUCAACUUUUAAAGUCCUACAUGAUCUGAGUUUAGACCGAUGAGAAUCAGGUUGGUUUCUAUCUUAAUUGAAAUAAAUUUUUUGAUUAGUACGAAAGGAAUUUCAAAAUUUAAUUUAUUUAAUAUAACAAUAAUUUUAUUUGCA